UGCAUGUAUAUGUCCAAAUGAGCAGUACAUGCUGAGCUACUAUCUCUCCUUGCUACCCAGACAAGACGUCUGCAGAUCCAUCAGUCAAGUAGAUAUAGAGGAUUGCAGAAACUCACUGGUUUCUCCAGCUGCACCCUUCCCUGUGUCUCAGGGAGAGGGUAGUGCAAUGGCCAGGCUGGCUAUUUCUCCAGUGCGAGGAGAUCCUGACACCAGUCUUCACUAUAUCAUGCCUAAGGUCCGCUUGGUGGGAUGUCGGUUUUCUCCAGUGAAGCUAAUGAAGAUAGAGGGAUCUCAGCACUUGGCAGGACUAAAUGAGUUUUCCCCCUUUCUGGUACCUGAGGAUAAUUAA
rnacentral:lncRNA from 1 species